CACCCUUCUGCUCUUUAAAAACUAUCGUCCAAUUCAUCUAUCAAAGACCAACCAAAAUUCCGUGAGAGUAAAGCCUUUGCUUAGCUUUCCAGUCCUGUUAAACGGUGAGAAACAAAAGGGUCCCCAUGAGCCUGCCCAACAAGACGCCACGAAGGCAGAAAACGCCAGGUGACCUCCAGGCAGACACUUCCGGAAGAAAUCGGCUCACGGAACCUGGAAGUGAAGACAGAAAACGCACAGCAUUCUGGGAAGAGUUACGGAGGCGGAAUUGUGUUUGCUGGCUGUUACCAGGACAACCGGAGGCGAUUGACCGUUAUCUGCGGUUUGGAGCCGUUAGGGAGAGGCGGAGAUGUUCAAAGGUCUUUUAGGAUGAGCUAAAGGGUCGUGAGGGCUCUCUUAAGAUUAUCUUAACAAGAGGUUAUCCAGUCGUGACCCGUGCCCCAGCCGCUGGACCAGGGGAUCUGAGUCGCCCUCUCGUUUUCCUGAGUCAGUCUUAAGGUGAAAUGAAGUGUGGCCCCGUGACUUCACUGUCGCUUUUCUAGUUUUCUGUCUUCUUUUAGAAAAUUGAAUUGAAAAGACAGGAUAAAGUGGACACAGCAUGUGAAGACAAUUCUUUCAAGAAGUUUGGCUGUCAAGGAAAAUAGAGAAUGUGCUAAAGACAUAUAGACACAGAGCAGACAGGCCACCCUUGCUACCACAUGGAGGUUUGUCUAAUAUUGAAGCUAAAGAAGCUAAGCCGGAAGACAGAGAGACCAAGUCCUGAUGAUGUUGUUUGAACCCAGAGAUACAGACAUGUCUGAAAACUAGUUUUACCACUGGACUUAUCAGUUAAAUGAGCCAAUAAACUCUCUUUCAUACUUAA